AUAUCACUCAUUCUGAACAGGUCUGAAUCCGGGAAGUCGUAUUUCUUUGGGAAAAUGGAUAUAGCAAAGGAGCUAUUACAUCAAAUUUAUCAACAUAAACAUAAACCGAAGAGCAGAGGGGCAUCAUCAGACGCAGACUUUUACUUCGUAGCCUGGGCAAUGAUGUUACUGAUGGAGCCACCUUCCUCUUUAGCAGCCUCUACCAACGAAUCCUGUGGAAGUAGGGAAGCGAAUUGUUAAGAGAAGUGAAUUGUUAAGAGGAAAAAAAACUAUGGACUUCUUGAGAGCAGUCCAACACAGGUUCUGCAAUUUUCUAUUGUACACGUGUUUUUAUACCUGUACAAACUAUAUUGGAAGCACAAACUCAUUCAAGAGGUAACAGAAUAGAUUUUAGAAGAUGAUGCUACUCCUAAUAUUUAAGCAAAGAAAUGAACUCUACUUAACCAUAGGGGAAAAGUGAGGUACAGUCAAGACAUGAAUGAAGAGAAAGAUUUUAAUACCCGGGUCAAAGGAUCAGAAAAAAGACUCUUCAGGCAGCUGGUCAACACGAUCGGCGGACGGACCCUAGGUACGGGUGGCGCGGCCCCCGGUGACGAUCAUGGAGAUCGACCGCCCCGGGGGCGGCACGGUGUGAAAGCGGCGGCUAGGGUUUGGAUAGGAGUUAGGCUGAUACCAUGUAUAGAAGGAAUAGAGGGGAGAUUGGUGGAAUUAUUGCUUGUAUUGCUUGAGCCUCGUGGGAGUAUAUAUAAAAAUACUUGACCAUUUUGAAGUACAAGACAAGCUAGAACAAAUUCUAGUCUAUUCUUUCUUUCCUAAUAAUCAUGAUACACUCAACAAUAGUGUAGAGUUUUGUAGCUGGCAUCACGCAUGAAAGAAGGACAUCGAUCAUGCAUCACACUUCCGGAUGGUUAGGCUUUCACAGUGUACGGGUAUGCGAGAUAUUCCAACUGGAUGCCUCACUCUUCAGAAUUAUUGCCCUUUAUACGUUUUGUGUGGGGGUUGUACCGAAGCGGGACUCAUUUCCUUAUUAUCCACAACUGGAUGCAUAGCUUCAUUCCUAGAACUAUGCAUUAUCUUGGCCUAAGCACACUACUCAUUCCAAAUGUGCAAGUGCCAUGUAAACUGAGUGCACAAGAUAGGUAAAACACUAAACCUCUUGUUGUCUUCGGCCUGUUCUCCUGAAUCCUGGCACCUUCCAUCCCCAAACAAGUUAUCUUGUUUGAAACUAAACACUCCUACUUGAUAGUUCUCUAGGAUCAUCUAGGAUCAACAAGGAAGAGGGAACUGUCUUCGACUUUAGCCAAUGGAUAUGGUCAAGCCUUGUACAUGAGAAGGGAAGAAAGAAAGGCCAGUGUAUAUAUAGCCAAGAGACAGAUGAGUUGCUAGAGUUGUACUAAGGCCAUUAUUUUAUUUAUUUCCGAAGGACAAGAUGAGCAUGCCCGCAACAACCAGUGUGAAGAUUAAACACAAAUAAUGCGCUGCCGAAUCAUGCCCAUGAAUUUACAAAUAUUUCUUAAAUGCCACUAAACAGACUACUGGUGAACAAUAUCCAUGACAGUUGUAUCUUUGGAAGAUUCCAAAUUCAGUUGCAAAGGAACACAUGCAUUGUAGUUACAUAUCACUCAUUCUGAACAGGCCCAAAUCCGGGAAGUCGUGUUUCUUUGGGAAAAUGGAUACAGCAAAUUAGCUAUUACAUCAAAUCUACCAACAUAAACAUAAACCAAAAAGCGGAGGGCCAGGGAUCAUAAGACGCAGAUUUUUUACUUCGUAGCCUGGGCAAUGAUGUUACUAAUGGAGCCAGCUUCCUCUUUAGCAGCCUCUACCAACUGAAUCCUGUACAAGCAGGGAAGCAAAUUAUUAAGAGGAAACUAUGAACUUCUCAAGAGCAGUCCAACACAGGUUUUGCAAUUUCUAUUGUACAGCGUUUUUCUUUUUGUACAAACUAUAUUGGAAGCACAAAGUAAUUCAAGAGGUAACAGAAUAGGUUUUAGAAGACGAUGUUGUUUAUCCUAAUAUUUAAGCACAGAAAUGAGCUAUACUGAACCAUAGGAGAGAAGGUGAGGUGCAGUCAGGACAUGAAUGAACAGAAUGAUUUUAAUACCCAAAGUUAUACGCCCUUAACUAAUCAUGGAAAGUACUCCCUCCGUCCCACUAGUGUCAAAAACGUUCUUAUAUCAUGGGACGGAGGGAGUAGAAUUUAUGUUAGCCGGUGGUGAGGAUACCUGAGCUCAACAGAAAUGAGAAUCUCAUCCAGUACGUAGUAGGCCUGCAAAUUUCACCAUGUACUCAUGAAAAUGAGCCCAUGACUCACAAAAUUGGCAUAAGUCUGGCAAGAUAUUGCAUAUAACUCCAGUCCUGGAUCUUCAGUGUCAACAUUUCAACAUAUGUGACAGAGGUUACCUUGUGGAAAUUCAAUAUCAAAUCCAGCUCGCAUACCUAAAGAAAUAUCUUGGCCCAGAUGGGCUUGGCGGGCCACAGCCUAGUGUGGCCUCCGGUGCAGCGCAGUGGUGCCGGUCUGCCACGGCGACGGAUGCGCUGGCCCGGCGGCGGCGCCGGCGGUGCGGUGGCUCGGUUCCUCGGGCCGGCGGGCUUGUGGAGCAUGGUUUGCUGCGGCGUGCGUUGGAUCUGGAGGUGGCCGGCUUGUCAGCAUGACGGGAGGUCCAGCGUGGUUGACCAGGUGGCGGCGCGCGAGGGAUUCAGGCCCUUGUGCCCGGAUCUGAUGCUCGUGGCGGUGGUUGCCGUUGUAUGGGCGACGACAGCGGCUGGCGCGGCGAUGGGUUCUCCCUAUAGAGCCCGAAAUCGGGGCGGCGGCCCCUCUUCUUCGACGGCGGCGGACUUCGUGGAUGUGUGGGAAUCUCGGAGACUGGAUCUUGAGAUGGUGACGGCCUUCCUGAGGCUGGCGGUGAUAUGGGACGUCCCCUCCAUCAACAGAUCGGAUUUGAUACGGCUCGGCAAGUGAUGCAUGUGCCUCUUCCGGAGGGGUCGAGUAAUGCCUGUCGCCGGCAGGUGAAGCCACCGGCGGAUGCGCCGCCGGUGGAUGCUACGCACGGCGUGUUAUGCGGAGACGUCAAGUCAUGCCUGCUACAACCAGGUGCUGCACUGUGGCUCUGCCGGAGGUGACAUGUUUACCCUGUUGCUGCUGGAUCGAAGGUGGUGUUACAGUAGCGGGAGGCGGUAUGGGACAUCUUUUAUCUUCCGUUGUCUUCGCCAGAGGUAUCCGGUUAUCGAGGCAUCGGUGGCAGGAUAAGGGCGGAUGGUACAGACGGCUUCAACGACGAGUUUAUGUGCUCGAGUGGGAACACAGGAUCUCUGAUCGGGUUAUGUCAACGCGCGCCUGCGUCGUAUCCUUGCUGAAGGUGGUGGACUGAAGCUUGGCUUUGAGGAUGAGAAUUCAAAGUUCAACCUUGUGGUGGACGCGCCAUCAUUGGCGCGCGUGCUUUGAUGAUGAGAAUUCAGAGUUUAACCUUGCGGUGGACUCGUCAUCAUCGGCGCACGUGCGGCGAUUCCUUCUUGAAGGUAUAGCCUAGGAGUUUUGUAUUUUUCAUUUUGACGUCGUCUUGUAACAUAGGGUUAGUGGCUAUCUGGUGGAGCUAUUGUCGCAAGGCAUGCGGCCUCGGGUUUUUUUUUUUGCUUUUUUUUCGGGUCAAUUUUAUUCGGCCGCUGAAUUUUGCAUUUUUAAUAAUAUGACUGUGUGCAUCAAGAGAUGCAGAGACCGGGGUAUUCUUUUUUCGUAAAAACCUAAAGAAAUUAUAAAAAAACAGUCAAAACAAUACUAGUACAUUCUAGAAAUAAUGCUAAUCCAUAAGAGAAAUCACAGGGAAGCACACUUACGCUGCUGAAACAGCGGUCGAGUAUCUCAACAAAAUGAUGGAUAAUUUCCAGCAUCGUACGAAUGCUUCGAUCAGGCAUGCCACCCAGGUAAUUUCUCUCCCUCGUGUGCAAAAGGCAUACGCACUCGCAAAGACAUCAUAUAGGAUUUUCCACGAUAAAUUGGACGCAUUUCAAGGAUGUGAACAAAAAAUGCUUUCACACUGAUGAAAAAGUCAAAAAUAAUUUAACCAAAUUAAUAAAAAGAGCCAACAGCCAUCAUUGCUUCCAUUGUGGGGAAUGUGGACAAUCACUAUGGACUUACACUGCCCGGAACAGGUGAAGAUUCAUAGUGACAGUCCAUAUACUCCCUCCGUUUUAAAAUAGAUGACCCGACAAAGUUAGUACAAAGUCGAGUCAUCUAUUUUGAAACGGAGGGAGUACUUAACAAGAGUUUAAUGAAGACCGAAGCUUACUGCUUCUGGACUACUCGACUAUUUAGACCGGUCGCGGCGCUCGUGCUUAGGCGUGGUGGGACCAAACCCAGCUCUCACACAGAUGGAGAAGUCCAAAAUAAUCAUGCAAUGAAACAGCGCUUUGCCGAGAGCCAAGUCAUGGGCUCUCGACAAAGCCUACCCACCGUCACCGAGCCGUUAACCACUACCAAACUUGCCACGUGGAACCUCUUUGCCAUGGGUUCAUUGUUUGGUUCUCGGCGUACAGAGCGAUUGCUGAGUUGCCUCCUUUCACCGGGCGAUUGCUGGGUCUCAGUACAUGUAUGUGUUUGCGGUGCUGCAUCUAUUGCCGAGCAUGACUCUUGGCUUACGUCGCUUUGCCGAGUGCCUGUGUUUUGGUUCUCGGCGAAGAGCCGAACACUCUGCGUAGAGUGAAAUUCCAGUAGUGCACACAACUGGAUGCAUGACUUCAUUUCUAAAACUAUGCAUUAAGCUUGAAUGAAACGAGUGUCAUGGAAAUGGUAUGCGCAAGAGGGCCAAAACUCUCAGCAUGAUGUCUGUGUGCGCUUGUUCUCAUGAAUCCUGGUACCUUCCAUCCCCAAACAAGUUAUCUUGUUGGAAAUCCAAUAGUUGAUCGUUCUCACUCAUAGAAAGCCAAAGAUGAACAAGGAAGAGGGAACUGGCUUGGACUUUAGCCGGUGGAUAUUGUCAAGCCUAGUGCGUACUACGUAAGAAGGGAGGAAAGCAAGGCCGGUGUAUAUAUAGGCAGAGACAGCUAAGAUGCUAGGGUUGUACUGGGGGCAAUCCAUUUAUUUUAGGGUCCUGAUAACGCUCACACGUGUGGUAUAUUAGACAUUUGCCCCCACACACCGUGUGUGGCGUCGUAGGAGGCAGCCCACACGGGUUGUGUGUGGGCGAAUAUUAGAAUUGCUCACACGAAUGGGCGCAGCUACUUCAUGCCACAUGGCCAAUAAGUACUACUCAUCCCCACCCCGCGCGUGUGGCACGAAGCAAAUAUGUCCACACGUCCUGACGCAGCUACGUUAGAUACCCGCGGUGUCGUGGAUUUGUCACGGCAGAUGUCCUAGGGUGAGGACUUAGUCGUGAGGCCAGCGCAUCUAUGUAGUAGCUUGAGAGGGGUUGAGCGGAAUGGAGAGACGCAACACAAGACAAGGAUUUAGACAGCUUCGGGCCCCGGGAAACAUCAUCCGGUAAUAACCCUACAUGAUGUUUGAGGCUAGAUCUCAUUACGCUCAUGAGGGAGUCGCCGGUAAACCGGCUCUUGUGUCUAGCCCUAGAGAUUGUUGAUUGUUGCCUGUCCCUCUUUGGGGAGCCCUGCCCCUCCUUAUAUAUGUUGAAGGGGCGGGUUACAUGUGGAGUCCUAUUAGGAUUAGGACUAGUCUAUCUCUAAUACAAACCGGAUACAAGUCCAGGUCUUAACUCCUAGUAAGGUAAAUAUUCCUGAUACCUUUCCUUGUAAACCGGACAACCAUAGUAUGAACCGGCCUUCAUGAACCGCCCGUUGGGCCACCGGGUCUUGUCGCUCCUCUGACCAGCCUGCCGGAUUACCAAUGAAUCGUAAAACGCCAGUUCCAAAUGGGUCGCCAGUGAACCGUCAAGUCUCAGCCGGGUCUCAAGCAAACCGCUAAGUCCGGCCGGGUUAUACUUCCGGCCGGUUUACGCCGCGGGGUAUAUCCCCGACAUUAGCCCCCAGUUUAAUUUGGAUUUAUCCAUGUUAAACUGAUCCUGCAAAAUAACUCAAGAACAAACUUGAUAGGUUGUGCUCCGGGUUAAAUAUUUUCCUGAACCGGGACCUGAUUAUCCUUAAGUCCAAUUGUCAUUUCCUUCAUCUAGAAAAUCCGGGUUAACAAGCCAGCUUCAUACUCAGCUUCAUACUCAAUUUGCGGACAUUGGUUUCUCACAGAGAAAUAUUGUGAAGAAUAAUCCACUUGAGUCGGCUUCCAAAGCGCCGGUUUUAAGAAAUAUGGGUCUUGAAAUACUUAUCUGAUAUUCAGCCGGUUUGAAGAUGUAAAAUUUGUCGGUUUAAUAUUACCAAAAUUGCCGGUUUAUAAAUAUUGAUGGCACCGAGUCAUAAUUGUUGUCGACACCGGGUCAUGUAAUUGAUCUUCCUGAUUUGCUCAAAACUGAUAAACUGAAGACGUUCCUCCUUUAUAUGCAUAAUACCUGUAGCCCCCAAGUCUUAAGAGGAGAACAUACUGGUAACUUAAGACUUGCUCCAAUAAGUGUUUCAACCUUGAAGAAAUCCGGUUUGUUCAUCUCAAUCAUAUAAACUGAAUACUCCAUAUAUGUAGCCCCCAAGUGCCGGGUUGUCAUGCUUGCAACAACCUGGGACUUGUAAUUGCUUAUAAAAACUUCAAUCAGUGUAGCCCCCAAAGGCCGGGUCAUUAUGCAAUAAUGAGCAGGGACUUUGUAAAUAUAAUCAUGUAGACUUGAGCAGUUAUGUGUAGCCCCCAAGGACCGGCUCCUUACAAUGUGAUGAGUCGGGUCUUCAAUAAGACUAGUAAAAAUGACUUUGCAUUAGCCCCCAAGUGUCAUGGUGCAUGCUUGCAGCGACAUGAGACUUGCAUGUAAUCUCAAUUUGAAUAAUGUAGCCCCCAAGUGCCGGGUUGUAAGCCUGCAACGACUCGGGACUAUUCCUUCCAUUGUAGACUAAAUCAUAUUCUUUCAUAAAAUAAUAGCCAUUGCGCUAAAGCGACUUUGAAAACCUCAAUAAUACCGGAUAUUAAUAACCAUAAAAAUCCAGUCAUGUUGGCUAUUCAAGAUAAUAUAAUCCGGUAUGAAAACCUUAUUCAUUCAAUAUCAUAAUGAAAAUUCAGCCAAGUUUGGCUAUUUGAAUAAUAUAACCCAAUGAUUUAUAAGCCCAUGAUUCCAAUGGCGCAAUCCAAAUAUAUACUGACGACUUAUAGUCCAAAGCCAGGCCGGUUUAGUAAACACCGGAUAAUUUAUCAUCAUGCUUUAUUCAACCUGUUUCUGUGACAUUGAAUCACAUUGUUGGUUUUACCAACUUUUUGUAGUAAGGGUGAUAAUCCCAAUCUUGAGUACUGAUAACUCCUUCCAUAUCGUGCCGGUUUAUGAUAAAACUGUUCCGGGUUGUGAUAAACACCGGAUUAACUAUAUAUAAUACUGGUGACUUUGAGUCAAAACCAGACCGGGCUGAUAGUCUCCGGAUUCUAAUUUGAUUGUAUACUGUCAACUUGUAGUUGACGGCCUAACCGGGUUGAUAAACACCGGUUUAAAAACGUCAAAAAUCUUAUGAAAACAAAGAAAACUCAGCAAAAGGCAAAUAAAGGUCCGUUGUAGUCGAGGCUUUUCACGGGCUGCCAGACCCCAAAUUUGAUCAAGAGGUGUUGCUAUGGUUCGGGUUCGACCAAGCCCCCAAGUGAUGCUGUGGCAUUACGCCGAUCAAGAGGUGUUGCUAUGGUUCGGGUUCGACCAAGCCCCCAAGUGAUGCUGUGGCAUUACCCAAUCAAGAGGCGUUGCUAUGAUUCGGGUUCGACCAAGCCCCCAAGUGAUGCUAUCGCAUUACGCCGAUCAAGAGGCGUAGCUAUGGUUCGGAUACGACCAAGCCCCCAAGUGAUGCUGUGGCAUUGCGCCGAUCAAGAGGUGUAGCUAUGGUUCGGAUACGACCAAGCCCCCAAGUGAUGCUGUGGCAUUACGCCGAUCAAGAGGUGUAGCUAUGGUUCGGAUACGACCAAGCCCCCAAGUGAUCAAUAAUAUGACAGGCCAAUAAGGCGGGAUACCCAUGUUUGAACCACGCAUCAUGGCAACAGGUCCUCUUCGGCUACCUUCAACUUUUUGCAAGAGAUAAAUUCUUCUUGAACCGGGAUUUUGAACCGGAUAUUGAGAGCUUCAAUGUUUUAUGGGAGACAUCUUUCCCUUGAACCGGAUUUUAAACCGAAACCUUCAUUUCAGCCAGAAAUUUUCUGACGGCCUUUCAGCUCGAACUUGCGAGAGAUUAAUUCCUCUUGAACAGGAAAUUCUUAAACCGGAUUGGAGAGCUUCAGAGCUUUGUGGGAGAACAUAUUUCCCUUGAACCGGAUUGUAAAUCGUAUAUUUGAGAGCUUCGGUGAGACUGACUUCCCUUGAGCCGGAUUUUAAACCGGAAUCCUUUCUGAUGACCCGGAACUUCUUCAUUGAGCCGGGAUUUUGUAACUGUCAUAUACUUUCUAAGCCGGAAAUUUUCUGACGGCCUUUAAAUUUUCAUCAAUAUAACAGUAGCCUCCGGGACCGGGUUAUCUUUCCCUCCAUCGUCCUGGGGUUCUUAAAUUUGCUGAAACUAGCAAGAUUUGCUGAGUCAUGUCAUCGUAGCCCCCGAGUCUUAAGGUGACUCGAGGAGUUGGCUUGAGAUUCUCUAUAUUUGACCGUGAUAUAAACCGGCAUAAAUUGUAUAUCAUUGGUGUUGAUAGCACGAUGUGAAUCCAUAGAAGGUUGAGGUGACUGCGGCGGGUUAUAAAUGAUCCCGUAUGAGCCGUGUCAGCAACUCGGCCAAUGGUUCCUUCCAACUGGUGAUUUGAAGUUAACCAAACUGUAGUGGCGACGACUUGUGCGCCUGCCCAUUGAGCCACCCAGUGCAGACGGCGGUUGAUAGUAUAUGAUAAUUUGCCUCCAUUUUGUUGAAAGAAAAAACCGGGCUACCCAAUCUGUGACUUGCUCAUACUCAAUAAACAGCUCAUGCAAACAGGUGCAGCCCGGUGUGUUGAUGUAGACCAGGCCGCGAGAGACGGACGGAAAAUACGACCACAACAUCAGAGGCGGGACAGACGGAUGAGUCGGCCGCGGCGUUGUAAACCGGCGCGGGCGGGAGAAUCGGCCGCGGCGUUGUAAACCGGCACGGACGGGCGAGUCGGCCACAGGGACGAUCCCGGUGAGUUGAAGUAGUCCGGGCCGUCAGGGCGGCGUCUUGCGCACAUAUUCUUUGAUCAUUAUGGCAUGGUCAUAUGCUAGCGCAUGACAUUAAUUGUGCGAUUUAUAUAUCCAUGAUCCGCCCAUAGUGACCAAUUGUCCUGCAUAUAAAAUACAAAGACCAAAGUAAUUGUUCUUUGAUGAAAACAAUAUGUGUUAAUAAAAUAUAGUUAGAGGGAUAUCACCUGAUUCAUCCAGACGAUAAAUGACCCGUUCAACACCGCAGACCGGAGAUCGCUGUAGCGGCUCAGGCAGACCGACGACUCAAUAUAACCCGGGCGGCUCAACACAGCAGAUGCGGCUUAACGCGGCCCCGGCGCCUCAACACAGCAGCGAAGCGGCAGCGCGGUUGAGACGGCAGAAGCGGCGACUUGAACAGCUUGAAACGGGCGCGAGUCGACCCGGGGUAGGCGGCGGCUCAUCGUGUGACGGUGGCUCUCCAAUGGCGGAUUAACACGGGAGGAUUCUCCGGUGGUAGAGGUAAGCGGGCCCGCGGGGAUAGCUUCAGCAAUUCAGAGCAGCGGCGGAGCAAGGCGGGUCACAGCAUGGCGAUUUGGAAGAUGAACCUCAGCGGUGGAAAAAGAUUGCCACGAAGACUUAAAAACAACAGCUCAAAGGCAGCUCUGCUUCAUGGAAACGAGCGACGGACACUCAAGCGGGGUAGCAGCACGUGAGAAAUACUGUUUGAACUAGUACUUUGAUUGUUGUGUGAUCGACGACACGCAAUCUGACUGCGGCAUAAUGAAAAAUCAUAUUGGUCCGGGCUGACAUGCUCAGCAUAGUACUCCGUUCAUUCUGCUGCUCCAUACUCAGAAGCGGCCUCAUGCAGGAGCGAAUCGGACCGGGUCACAAGCGGCAGAAGGCGGUGUCCUUGCAGUGACUCGGGACCGGCCACAGCGGAGGCGUCGGCUCAAGGCGCCGCGGAAGCAGAGGAAAAACGGGGCGGCGACUUAGCGUGUUGGAGGCGACGCAGCGCGUGUUGACAAGUUUCUGUAUACCGGAGAUGACGCGUAAGACCCGGACGGUGGCUCCAUGCAACGGUGCAUUUGUUUUACGCGGCAAUCUGCAAGUACUACUUCAUGGAGGCACCUUUCUGAUGGAUUUGACGUUGACCCGGAGUACUAGUAUUGUUUGACCAAUCAAUUGGCUGGUGUACGUAAAGACCAUGUCCAACUCAUAUUCUGAUUAGCCUACGCAUCACGUCACUGAUUAGGAAAAUGAGAUCAAUUGACCCGCAGGUGACAGAUAGACGAUUUUCAAACGGAUUUUUUUGGAAGCCGGUGCGGACGUGGUUGCUGGCACGACCCGGUUCCAAAUCCUGGCAUAACCGUGCGGUUUGUUGGAGUUUGCACGGGGCGGUGCACACCGGUGCACUGUUGAUCUGAUUCUUCCUCCAUGGAUUCUGUCCCAGUUGGGAUCUCUGGAUCUCAUAACUCCACGCUGUAGUAUUUUCUUGUCUCCACUAAUAAUAGUCCACCGAUAUGGUGUGGAGGUUGUACGAGAAAAAGCAACCAAAACACGCGGAGUCACCCGGCGUCCGCAACAAAAACACACGGGUUGUCACGCGCCGGGAAACAUCAUCCGAUAAUAACCCUACAUGCUGUUUGAGGCUAGAUCUCAUUACGCUCAUGAGGGAGUCGUCGGUAAACCGGCUCUUGUGUCUAGCCCUAGAGAUUGUUGAUUGUUGCCUGUCCCUCUUUGGGGAGCCCUGCCCCUCCUUAUAUAUGUUGCAGGGGCGGGUUACAUGUGGAGUCCUAUUAGGAUUAGGACUAGUCUAUCUCUAAUACAAACCGGAUACAAGUCCAGGUCUUAACUCCUUAUAAGGUAAAUAUUCCUUAUACCUUUCCUUGUAAACCGGACCACCAUAGUAUGAACCGGCCUUCAUGAACCGCCCGUUGGGCCACCGGGUCUUGUCGCUCCUCUGACCAGCCUGCCGGAUUACCAAUGAAUCGUAAACCGCCAGUUCCAAACGGGUCGCCAGUGAACCGUCAAGUCUCAGCCGGGUCUCAAGCAAACCGCUAAGUCCGGCCGGGUUAUACUUCCGGCCGGUUUAUGCCGCGGGGUAUAUCCCCGACACGCGGGGUGACGAUUUAGUUGUCAUUCGGGAUGGCAGAUUUAGUUAUCCGGGACAACAAAUGUAGUUGUAAAAGCAUGUCAACUCUCUCUGGUUUGGUUAACUAUAGUUGACAUGUCUAAUUUAUGAUAGUUGUCGCGUGUAAUCAAACUAUAGUUGUCGUGUGUGAUUAACUACUUGUCAUAUAUGGUCAAACAAUAGUUGCCAUGUGUGUUUACCUAGUUGUCACUUGUGGUCCAACCAUAGUUGCCAUGUAUGGUUAAUCACAGUUGUCAUGUGUGUUUAUCUGGUUGCCACAUACGUGCAACUGCAGUUGCCGUCUAGCAACGGAUCAUAGUUGCCAUGUGUGUUUACCUAGUUGCCAUGUACACGCAACUGCAGUUGCCAUCCAACAACAUACGAGUGUCGUGUGGGCGAAAAGCGGUUCGCCCACACACGCGUGGACUAGGUGAUGGUUGUGUGGGCAGAAACUAGCUCGCCCACACAGCGCAACUGGCAAACCGCGUGUUGCGGGGCGUGUGGUCGAACUCUCCAACGCCCACACACAUGAUGAUGCUCACAUGGCACUCAAAUUCUAACAAAUUUCAUUAGGAUUCAUGCAAAACAAAAUCAACGUGGAUCAAGGCAUGUGGGCAAUGUGCAAACAUGCCACACGCGUGGGCGUUAUCAUUUGGGUUAUUUUAUUUAUUUCCGAAGGACAACAUGAGCACGGCCACAACAACCAAUCUGAUUAAACACAAGAUAAUGCUCUGCCGAAUUAAGACCAAGAAUUUACAAAUAUUUCUUAAAUACCCACUAAACAGACUACUGGUGAACAAUCUCCAUGACAGUUUUAUCUUUGGAAGAUUCCAAAUUCAGUUGCAAAGGAACACAUGCAUUGUAAUUACAUAUCACUCAUUCUGAACAGGCCUGAAUCCAGGGAGUCGUAUUUCUUUGGGAAAAUGGAUACAGCAAAGGAGCUAUUACAUCAAAUUUACCAACAUAAGCAUAAACCAAAGAGCAGAGGGGCAUCAUCAGACGCGGACUUUUACUUCGUAGCCUGGGCGAUGAUGUUACUGAUGGAGCCAGCUUCCUCUUUAGCAGCCUCUACCA
rnacentral:lncRNA from 1 species